UUGCUUGCACAGGCCUGCUUAUAAAAGGCAGAGACUGCCCAUUCGUCCUUACUUCGGCCAGUUUAGUUAGGACUGGCGAUGCUGAAGGCAAAAUUGAUGAGACCUUGAGUAUCGAGGUGUUUCUUCCACCAAAUCACUCUACAUAGGGGAUAUUGGAAUUGUAUCAUCAAAACUACAACAUUGCCAUUUUUCGUCUAAAACAUGACCUUACUACUCCUAUUUCUCCCCAAGAUAUCUUCUCUGUGAGGGAGUCUAGAAAUAAUAAGUCAGUAGUAGCGAUAGGGCGUGCGCCUAAAGGAGCUCACGGAUUAUUGAUGGCCUCAAUGGGUGAAGUGAAGGGUAAAUACAAUGUUGUUACUAAGCUUAAAAACAAGCAUUCGACUGGUCCACGCCAGGGUCUGGAUCUUGAUUGCGAAGAACUUCUUUUCUCCACUUGUCAAAUCAAGAAGGCUGGUAUUGGAGGCCCACUUAUAGGUUUGGAUGGUAGUUUCAUUGGCAUGAACUUUUAUGAUGAAAGUAGAACAACUCCAUUUCUGCCAAGGAUCGAGAUUCUAAGAGUUUUGUAUAAAGGGUUUAGUCUGUUAGAAAGAGGUCUGGUCAGUCGUCCUUUCAACAUGGACGACAUCUCGGACUAUUUGACUUCUAAGGGACCCAAGUUUAUCCCACGGCAGACGACUCGAAAGAGAAAGAGAAACCUGU